CCUACGGGAGGCAGCAGUGAGGAAUAUUGGUCAAUGGACGAGAGUCUGAACCAGCCAAGUAGCGUGAAGGAUGACUGCUCUAUGGGCUGUAAACUUCUUUUAUAUGGGAAUAAAAUGUUUCACGUGAGGGAUUUUGUCUGUACCAUAUGAAUAAGGAUCGGCUAACCUCGUGCCAGCCGCCGCGGUAAUACGGAGGAUCCGAGCGUUAUCCGGAUUUAUUGGGUUUAAAGGGAGCGUAGGUGGAUUGUUAAGUCAGUUGUGAAAGUUUGCGGCUCAACCGUAAAAUUGCAGUUGAAACUGGCAGUCUUGAGUACAGUAGAGGUGGGCGGAAUUCGAGGUGUAGCGGUGAAAUGCUUAGAUAUCACGAAGAACUCCGGUUGCGAAGGCGGCUCACUGGACUGCAACUGACGCUGAGGCUCGAAAGUGUGGGUAUCAAACAGGAUUAGAUACCCGUGUAGUC
rnacentral:rRNA from 1 species